CGAAGCGACUCAAUUCCGAAAGAUCCUGCGAGUUUGCCUCGACGACGUUGUUCACAAGCUCCUUGAGGUCCCUGGCCAUCUCGUCUCGAGCAGUGAUUCGACGAUAGCACUGAAGAUCAACCGAGAUCGCAGCUCCUCUUCCGGCGGUAGUUGCCGAGCGGCAAACUCCCGCUUCGCUUCGCGCAGCAGCUUGGCGUCCGUGAGCAGAUCGAGC